rnacentral:lncRNA from 1 species
AAAAAGAUAGCAAACUCCCUGUUCACAGUGUUACAAGAUCAGAGCACUAACUCCACUAAAUUGUAAUAAACGAUAAAUAAAAUGAAGAAUAGCUUAAACUAGUCACUCUUCAAACACAACAACUUUACACUUGAGUAUCUGCAAGAUGUCCAUGGUAGGAAAUAUUAAGAAAAGAGGUGAGAAAUAACUUCAAUAUGAACGGUGUAAGGAAUGCGAAGGUAGAGAAAUACACAACAUAUCUUACAGCCAAUACACAAU